CUUAUCCCUUUAAUCAUGAACCGCUCCCACUAUUACCUUGUCUGUGACCCAACACGGUUUAACAGAAAUUCAACAGCUGCACAGGCUGUGAUCAUAUCUCUUCAUUACCCAACUCUCCUCUUAACCCGUAUCACAAACUGCAUUCUGCCAUCGGGGCGUGUUAAAUUGGCGCCUCCGUCGCGGUCCAGAGAAAUGGCCACCAGUCUGUAAACGCAUUUAACCGAGGGUAGCAACUUCUCGGCGGGGAAUUACAAACGCUAGCGCAGAGAGUCGGGCAGAUUGGAAUGGGAGAUUCCGUAUGACUGACUGAGCCAGGCUCGCUCGAGUGGGGUGCUUGUUAAAUGCAUUUAGCAAUCGGAGCGUGUUGGGUUCCCUCUCUACGAGCGUCGCUCGACCGCUUUUUUGUGUGGAGAUCUUCGGCUAUAUAGAAUACCACAAACGCAUUGUUUUUGUCGCCUGAAAGCUUCAUAAACUGGAUUUUUGAGCAUUUCCGAGGUGAAGUCAGCCCUGAGUCAUUCAUAGGGAGGAAUUAUAAUCAAUAUACGCUCAAAUCUGACGGUACAUACUCAAAAUUACCGAGGAAUUAUUAAAAAGGAAUCAUGUAAACAAUUGUGUUGUGAUAACUUAUACGCUGUGAAUUAUCCUCUGGAUUAUAAUUCGGAUACUCAUAAAAAGGCUACAGGUGAUCCGUGGUAGGCUUGAGCGUCCAGUCGUUUAAACGGCUCACGACCUUCGUCUCUCACAGGGGCCUAAAAUCUACGAUCAUUUUCCAAGUACUUAAGUCGGAUUAAUCAUUUGGAUAUACAUCACAGUUCGUGAUUCCUUUUACCGGCAUUGGAAUCCUUCCUCGACCUUUGACCUGGAUGACGUAUGGAUGGAGAAGUUGCGCAUGAGAUAGUUUGGAGAAAAAGCUGUCUCUGAAAAUUGAUUUGUGCUAUGGAAAAUACCAUAUAGAAAUGCAGUUUUUCUAACAAGUCAUCGGGUAUUUUGCAUUUGGAUCAUUGACAACUUGUAAGAUUGGAAUCAUAUUUUUAGAAGAA